AGAGUUUGAUCCUGGCUCAGAACGAACGCUGGCGGCGUGCCUAACACAUGCAAGUCGAACGCGAAAGGGAGCAAUCCCCGGUAGCGUGGCAGACGGGUGAGUAACACGUGGGUAACCUACCCGGAGGUGGGGGAUAACCCUUCGAAAGGAGGGCUAAUACCGCAUGACAUCGCGGAGACCUCGGUCUUUGCGAUCAAAGCUGGCCUCUGUUUACAAGCUAGCGCCACCGGAUGGGCCCGCGCCCCAUUAGCUAGUUGGUGAGGUAACGGCUCACCAAGGCGACGAUGGGUAGCCGGCCUGAGAGGGCGACCGGCCACACUGGAACUGCGACACGGUCCAGACUCCUACGGGAGGCAGCAGUGAGGAAUCUUGCGCAAUGGGCGAAAGCCUGACGCAGCGACGCCGCGUGGAGGAUGAAGGUCUUCGGAUUGUAAACUCCUGUCGAGCGGGACGAAUGCCGUGAGGGUGAACAAUCCUCGCGGUUGACGGUACCGCUGGAGGAAGCCCCGGCUAACUCCGUGCCAGCAGCCGCGGUAAUACGGAGGGGGCCAGCGUUGUUCGGAAUCAUUGGGCGUAAAGGGCGCGUAGGCGGCCGAUCAAGUCGGAGGUGAAAUCCCUCGGCUCAACUGAGGAACUGCCUUCGAUACUGUUCGGCUUGAGUCCUGGAGAGGGUAGUGGAAUUCCCAGUGUAGCGGUGAAAUGCGUAGAGACUGGGAAGAACACCAGUGGCGAAGGCGGCUACCUGGACAGGUACUGACGCUGCAGCGCGAAAGCUAGGGGAGCAAACAGGAUUAGAUACCCUGGUAGUCCUAGCUGUAAACGAUGGGCACUUGGUGUUGCGGGUAUCGACCCCUGCAGUGCCGAAGCUAACGCAUUAAGUGCCCCGCCUGGGGAGUACGGUCGCAAGGCUGAAACUCAAAGGAAUUGAC
rnacentral:rRNA from 1 species